GAAAUUUUGAAGAAAAUUUAGACAUGGCACCUCUGCAACAAGUGGACCAGCCCUGCUUGGCUGAAUGGCGAAUUUUGCUUCCUCUAUUGAAUGAAUGUGGCAACCGGCGAUUUGGCAAUUGAAGCUUUCUAUUUCAAAUAAAGAUUCUUUGGAAUUUAGUAUCGUAUUGGAAAUAUUUUGAAAUAAAUAUUCAUUGUAAUUUAGUAUUGAGUAUUUUGAAUAAAUAAAUAUUCAUUGUA